UACGUAGGGACCAAGCGUUGUUCGGAUUUACUGGGCGUAAAGGGCGCGUAGGCGGCAAUUCAAGUCAUCUGUGAAAUCUCCGGGCUUAACUCGGAACGGUCAGAUGAUACUGCUUUGCUAGAGUGCGGAAGGGGCAAUCGGAAUUCUUGGUGUAGCGGUGAAAUGCGUAGAUAUCAAGAGGAACACCUGAGGUGAAGACGGGUUGCUGGGCCGACACUGGCGCUGAGUGCGCGAAAGCCAGGGGAGCAAACAGG
rnacentral:rRNA from 1 species